UGUACCCUGCAGUGUGCGUGGGGGUUAGCACAAUUGAGCCAACACCAAGAACAGGGACCUGGGCUCUGGAUGUGGCUUGCAGGCCCCGGUAGGGGAAGCAUAAAGCAAUCAGGAGGGUCCCACUCGCGUGAGAGCGGGUUCAAGCUUGGGGGCUUCCACGGCAUCUGCGGGGUACUU
rnacentral:other from 1 species